GACGAACGCUGGCGGCGUGCUUAACACAUGCAAGUCGAACGGAAAGGCCCUGCUUUUGUGGGGUGCUCGAGUGGCGAACGGGUGAGUAACACGUGAGUAACCUGCCCUUGACUUUGGGAUAACUUCAGGAAACUGGGGCUAAUACCGGAUAGGAGCUCCUGCUGCAUGGUGGGGGUUGGAAAGUUUCGGCGGUUGGGGAUGGACUAGCGGCUUAUCCGCUUGUUGGUGGGGUAGUGGCUUACCAAGGGUGUGACGGGUAGCCGGCCUGAGAGGGUGACCGGCCACAUUGGGACUGAGAUACGGCCCAGACUCCUACGGGAGGCAGCAGUGGGGAAUAUUGCACAAUGGGCGGAAGCCUGAUGCAGCAACGCCGCGUGCGGGAUGACGGCCUUCGGGUUGUAAACCGCUUUCGCCUGUGACGAAGCGUGAGUGACGGUAAUGGGUAAAGAAGCACCGGCUAACUACGUG
rnacentral:rRNA from 1 species